AUUGAACGCUGGCGGCAGGCCUAACACAUGCAAGUCGAGCGGAUGAAGGGAGCUUGCUCCUGGAUUCAGCGGCGGACGGGUGAGUAAUGCCUAGGAAUCUGCCUGGUAGUGGGGGAUAACGUCCGGAAACGGGCGCUAAUACCGCAUACGUCCUGAGGGAGAAAGUGGGGGAUCUUCGGACCUCACGCUAUCAGAUGAGCCUAGGUCGGAUUAGCUAGUUGGUGGGGUAAAGGCCUACCAAGGCGACGAUCCGUAACUGGUCUGAGAGGAUGAUCAGUCACACUGGAACUGAGAAACGGUCAAGACUCCUACGGGAGGCAGAAGUGGGGAAUAUUGGACAAUGGGCGAAAGCCUGAUCCAGCCAUGCCGCGUGUGUGAAGAAGGUCUUCGGAUUGUAAAGCACUUUAAGUUGGGAGGAAGGGCAGUAAGUUAAAACCUUCUGUUUUGACGUUACCAACAGAAUAAGCACCGGCUAACUUCGUG
rnacentral:rRNA from 1 species